UACCUCUUCGAGAGGUAUUAGUGCUGAAGGGAAGCCGAAGAGUGUGCUACCUGGGAAGUAUAGUCGCAAGGCCGAAACUUAAAGGAAUUGGCGGGGAGACACUACAACGAGUGACGCGUGCGGUUCAAUUAGAUUUUACACCGUGAACCUCACCAGGAGCGACAGCAGAAUGAAGGUCAGUCUGAAGGGCUUACCUGACACGCUGAGAUGAGCUGCAUGGCCGACGUCAGCCUGUGCCGUGAGGUGACCUGUUAAAUCAGGUAACAGGCAAGACCCCCGUGUAUAUUUACUAAGUGUACAAUAUACAGAUUGCCUUGGUAACAAGGAUGAAAGUUGGGGCUACGUUAGGUGAGUACAGCCAGAAUCCCCUGGGCUACACGCGCGCGUCAAUGGUAAAUACAAUGGGAUGCGACUCCGAAAGGAGAAGCUAAUCUCUUAAAGUUUAUCUUAGUUCAGAUCGAGGUUUGUAACUCAGCCUCGUGACGCUGGAAUUCGUAGUAAUCGGGUGUUAUCAACGCCCGGUGAAUAUGUCACUGUCUCUUGCACACACUGCCCGUCAAAUCAACCGAGUUUAGUUAUGGUGAAACUUUUCGAAGGAGAACCUUAGCUAGACAAGGUAGGUUAAGUCGUAACAAGGUAGCC
rnacentral:rRNA from 1 species